UCGUUGCAAACAUGUUAGCAUGUGGACAUUAGCAUUUAGCUUCAUGCACUGCUGUGCCUAAGUACAGUCUUACAGAGCCGCUAGCAUGGCAUGUAGACUCUAGUGCCAGAACAUUUAUCA